UGAAUACGAGAUGCUACGGCGUCGAAGCAGUCUAUGUCAUACUUCCAAGAAAAGCUUGCACUGUCAUAAACAAAUAAUGCCUGUACCAUAACCGACACAGGUGGGUAGGUAGAGUAUACUAAGGGGCGCGAGAUAACUCUCUCUAAGGAACUCGGCAAAAUGACUCCGUAACUUCGGGAGAAGGAGUGCCUUAUUUAUAAGGUUGCAAUAACAAGAUCCAAGCAACUGUUUACCAAAAACACAGGUCUCCGCUAAGUCGUAAGACGAUGUAUGGGGGCUGACGCCUGCCCAGUGCCAGAAGGUUAAAGAAGUUGGUUAGCAUCCGCGAAGCUGAUAACUGAAGCCCUGGUGAACGGCGGCCGUAACUAUAACGGUCCUAAGGUAGCGAAAUUCCUUGUCGGGUAAGUUCCGACCCGCACGAAAGGCGUAAUGAUUUGGAUACUGUCUCGGAGAGGGGCUCGGUGAAAUAGACUUGUCUGUGAAGAUGCGGACUACCUGCACCAGGACAGAAAGACCCUAUGAAGCUUUACUGUAACCUGAAAUUGAAAUUGGACUUUACUUGCGCAGUAUAGGUGGGAGGCGUUGAGAAUAUUCUUGCGGGAUUAUUGGAGCCAUCAGUGAGAUACCACUCUUGUAAUGUUAGAUUUCUAACUUUGUAUCAUUAUCUGGUCAAAGAACAGUUUCAGGCGGGCAGUUUGACUGGGGCGGUCGCCUCCUAAACGGUAACGGAGGCGCACAAAGGUUUCCUCUGAACGGGUAGAAAUCGUAUCUAGAGUGUAAAGGCAUAAGGAAGCUUGACUGUGAGACCUACAAGUCGAGCAGGGACGAAAGUCGGUCUUAGUGAUCUGACGGUGCUGAGUGGAAAGGCCGUCACUCAACGGAUAAAAGUUACUCUAAGGAUAACAGGCUGAUCUCCCCCAAGAGUUCACAUCGACGGGGAGGUUUGGCACCUCGAUGUCGGCUCAUCGCAUCCUGGGGCGGUAGUACGUCCCAAGGGUUGGGCUGUUCGCCCAUGAAAGCGGUACGCGAGCUGGGUUCAGAACGUCGUGAGACAGUUCGGUCCAUAUCCGGUGUAGGCGUUAGAAUAUUGAGAGGAGCCUUCUUUAGUACGAGAGGACCGAGAAGGACAUACCUCUGGUGUACCAGUUAUCGUGCCAACGGUAAACGCUGGGUAGCUAUGUGUGGAGUGGAUAACCGCUGAAAGCAUCUAAGUGGGAAGCCCACCUCAAGAUAAGUAUUCU
rnacentral:rRNA from 1 species